rnacentral:misc_RNA from 1 species
GAUGAAGAACGUAGCGAAAUGCGAUAAGUAAUGUGAAUUGCAGAAUUCAGUGAAUCAUCGAAUCUUUGAACGCACAUUGCGCCCGCCAGUAUUCUGGCGGGCAUGCCUGUUCGAGCGUCAUUUCAACCAUCAAGCCCCGGGCUUGUGUUGGGGACCUGCGGCUGCCGCAGGCCCUGAAAUGCAGUGGCGGGCUCGCUGUCACUCCGAGCGUAGUAGUUACAUCUCGCUCUGGGCGUGCUGCGGGUUCCGGCCGUUAAAAAGCCUUAUUUACCCAAGGUUGACCUCGGAUCAGGUAGGAAGACCCGCUGAACUUAAGCAUAUCAAUAAGCGGAGGA